rnacentral:RNase_P_RNA from 1 species
GGAUGUGCGAAGUGAGGGUCGCCGUCGGGUCCCUAGGGGCACCGAUGGAGGAAAGUCCGAGCUCCGUAGAGCAGGGUGCCGGGUAACACCCGGGCGUCGGUUUCGGCCGGCGACGGAAAGUGCCACAGAAAGUAAACCGCCGAUGGCCCUUUCGGGGGCACAGGCAAGGGUGAAAGGGUGCGGUAAGAGCGCACCGGGCCACCGGAGACGGGGGUCGCACGGUAAACCCCACCCGGAGCAAGGCCAAAUAAGGGAUGAGGAGUCGCUCGCUCCGCCUGAGUCCCGGGUAGGCCGCAUGAGGCCGUCGGCAAUGCCGGUCCCAGAUAAAUGACCCUCCCGCUGCUUCGGCGGAGGACAGAACUCGGCUUAUUCCGCGCAUCCGAUG